rnacentral:rRNA from 1 species
UACGUAGGGUGCAAGCGUUGUCCGGAAUUAUUGGGCGUAAAGAGCUCGUAGGCGGUUCGUCGCGUCGGCUGUGAAAUCCCGAGGCUCAACCUCGGGUCUGCAGUCGAUACGGGCGGACUGGAGUUCGGCAGGGGAGACUGGAAUUCCUGGUGUAGCGGUGAAAUGCGCAGAUAUCAGGAGGAACACCGGUGGCGAAGGCGGGUCUCUGGGACGGUACUGACGCUGAGACGCGAAAGCGUGGGGAGCAAACAGG